rnacentral:rRNA from 1 species
CAGUAGCCACGGUAAAACAGAGGGUGCGAGCGUUAAUCGGAUUUACUGGGCGUAAAGCGUGCGCAGGCGGUUAUAUAAGACAGAUGUGAAAUCCCCGGGCUCAACCUAAGAACUGCAUUUGUGACUGUAUAGCUAGAGUACGGCAGAGGGGGAUGGAAUUCCGCGUGUAGCAGUGAAAUGCGUAGAUAUGCGGAGGAACACCGAUGGCGAAGGCAAUCCCCUGGGCCUGUACUGACGCUCAUGCACGAAAGCGUGGGGAGCAAACAGGAUUAGAUACCCGGGUAGUCCCUGUCUCUUAUAC